UGGGGAAUAUUGGACAAUGGGCGCAAGCCUGAUCCAGCAAUGCCGCGUGAGUGAAGAAGGUCUUCGGAUUGUAAAGCUCUUUCGGCGGGGACGAUGAUGACGGUACCCGCAGAAGAAGCCCCGGCUAACUUCGUGCCAGCAGCCGCGGUAAUACGAAGGGGGCUAGCGUUGCUCGGAAUGACUGGGCGUCAAGGGCGCGUAGGCGGUUGGGAGAGUCAGAUGUGAAAUUCCCGGGCUUAACCUGGGGGCUGCAUUUGAGACGUCUAGGCUUGAGUGUGAGAGAGGGUUGUGGAAUUCCCAGUGUAGAGGUGAAAUUCGUAGAUAUUGGGAAGAACACCGGUGGCGAAGGCGGCAACCUGGCUCAUGACUGACGCUGAGGCGCGAAAGCGUGGGGAGCAAACA
rnacentral:rRNA from 1 species